CUUGAGGUGGCCAUUUUUUAAUUCGGCCUAGCUACACGAUGCCCCAUAUCUGACGAAUGCAGUGGAAGGUCAAGUACCUCACGAUUUGAUACAGAAGAACCCGACCACAUCAAGCGGCAGACGGUUGAGCUCCAGCAAAGGAUUGCUUGCACUCCGGUGAGUCUACGAUCACCGCGAUGCCACACCAGUAUUCUCCGCGGAAAAACGAAGCCCCGGCUCUGAAUUCCGAAGGCGAAUGCGGCAACGGGGACGAUGUUCACUGGUGGCACUCAGCACUCCCUAUGGUGGCUGUGGCGGCUCUGGAAAUUAGGUCGGUUGCGGACCUAGUGGAGCUGCGAGAAGUGGCGAGGUGGGCAGAAAAUAUCUGGAUGAAUCCAUUUAUGAGCCUGGAACGUGCUUGGUCCACGUGCCCUCGGUUUGCGCGUGGUGGUUU
rnacentral:lncRNA from 7 species